rnacentral:rRNA from 1 species
AUUGAACGCUGGCGGCAGGCGUAACACAUGCAAGUCGAGCGGAUGAUGGGAGCUUGCUCCUGGAUUCAGCGGCGGACGGGUGAGUAAUGCCUAGGAAUCUGCCUGGUAGUGGGGGACAACGUUUCGAAAGGAACGCUAAUACCGCAUACGUCCUACGGCAGAAACCAGGGUACGUUCGGGCCUUGCGCUAUCAGACGAGCUCAGGUCGGAUUAGCUUGUUGGUGAGGUAAUGGCUCACCAAGGCGACGAUCCGUAGCUGGUCUGAGAGGAUGAUCAGUCAAGCUGGAACUGAGACACGGUCCAGAAUCAUACGGGAGGCAGCAGUGGUGAAUAUUGGACAAUGGGCGAAAGCCUGAUCCAGCCAUGCCGCGUGUGUGAAGAAGGUCUUCGGAUUGUAAAGCACUUUAAGUUGGGAGGAAGGGUUGUAGAUUAAUACUCUGCAAUUUUGACGUUACCGACAGAAUAAGCACCGGCUAACUCUGUGCCAGCCGCCGCGGUAACAC